AUUGAACGCUGGCGGCAUGCCUUACACAUGCAAGUCGAACGGCAGCACGGGGGCAACCCUGGUGGCGAGUGGCGAACGGGUGAGUAAUACAUCGGAACGUGCCCAGUAGUGGGGGAUAGCCCGGCGAAAGCCGGAUUAAUACCGCAUACGACCUAUGGGUGAAAGCGGGGGAUCGCAAGACCUCGCGCUAUUGGAGCGGCCGAUGUCAGAUUAGGUUGUUGGUGAGGUAAAGGCUCACCAAGCCGACGAUCUGUAGCUGGUCUGAGAGGACGACCAGCCACACUGGGACUGAGACACGGCCCAGACUCCUACGGGAGGCAGCAGUGGGGAAUUUUGGACAAUGGGGGCAACCCUGAUCCAGCCAUGCCGCGUGCGGGAAGAAGGCCUUCGGGUUGUAAACCGCUUUUGUCAGGGAAGAAAUCUUCUGGGCCAAUACCCCGGAAGGAUGACGGUACCUGAAGAAUAAGCACCGGCUAACUACGUGCCAGCCGCCGCAGUAAUAC
rnacentral:rRNA from 1 species